rnacentral:rRNA from 1 species
UGGGGAAUAUUGGACAAUGGGCGCAAGCCUGAUCCAGCCAUGCCGCGUGAGUGACGAAGGUCUUCGGAUUGUAAAGCUCUUUUUGGCGGGGACGAUAAUGACGGUACCCGCAGAAUAAGCCCCGGCUAACUUCGUGCCAGCAGCCGCGGUAAUACGAAGGGGGCUAGCGUUGUUCGGAAUUACUGGGCGUAAAGCGCACGUAGGCGGACUGAUAAGUCAGGGGUGAAAUCCCGGGGCUCAACCUCGGAACUGCCUUUGAUACUGUUAGUCUCGAGUCCGGAAGAGGUGAGUGGAAUUCCUAGUGUAGAGGUGAAAUUCGUAGAUAUUAGGAAGAACACCAGUGGCGAAGGCGGCUCACUGGUCCGGUACUGACGCUGAGGUGCGAAAGCGUGGGGAGCAAACAGGAUUAGAUACCCCCGUAGUCCUGAGCGGGCUGGCAAGGCGCAU